AGGCCUUCUGAGAUUCCUUUGGCUCUUGAGAAGAAUUACAGAUGCUGCAGCAGUUUACCUCUUCCCUGCACCUGUGUCUCCAGGAGGACUGGGACACUAUGGUCUGAACCUCAAAUAUAAUGCCUGCUCACAUUGGGGACAGCAGCCUACUGAGUUCAGCAAUUUAAAUGUGAAUCUAAUCUGGAAACAUCCUGCUGAGGACUGAAUGUUUGUGUCCUCCCCACCCACAAAUUCAUAUGUGGAAAUCUAACCCACAAGGUGAUGGUAUGAAGAUAUGGAGUCUUUUGGGAGGUAAUUGAGUUAUGAAGGCUCUGCCAUCAUGAAUGGGAUUAGUGCACUUGUGAAAGAGGUUGCAGAGAGCUCAUUCACCCCUUCUACCAUGGGAGGACAGAGCAAGAAGGUAUCACCUAAGAGAAAGUGGAUCCUUACCAAGUGCCAAAUCUGCCAGCAUCUUGAUCUUGAACUUCCCAGCCUCCAGACUGUGAAAAAUAAAUUUCCAUUGUUUAUAAGUUGA